GAAGUGCCGUUCAAAAUAAUUCUCAAUUCUCAACUCUCAAUUCUCAAUUAGCGUAGCGAAGCACUGCGUGCUUUGCGCAGCUUAGUGGCGGACGGGUGAGUAACGCGUGAGCAACCUGGCUUUCGGAGGGGGACAACAGCUGGAAACGGCUGCUAAUACCGCAUAAAAUAUUUUCAUCGCAUGGUGAGGAUAUCAAAGAUUAAUUGCCGAAAGAUGGGCUCGCGUCUGAUUAGCUUGUUGGUGGGGUAACGGCCUACCAAGGCGACGAUCAGUAGCCGGACUGAGAGGUUGACCGGCCACAUUGGGACUGAGAUACGGCCCAGACUCCUACGGGAGGCAGCAGUAGGGAAUAUUGGGCAAUGGGGGCAACCCUGACCCAGCAACGCCGCGUGAAGGAAGAAGGCAUUCGUGUUGUAAUCUUCUUUGACGGGGGACGAUAGUGACGGUACCCCGAAAACAAGCCACGGCUAACUACGUGCCAGCAGCCGCGGUAAUACGUAGGUGGCGAGCGUUAUCCGGAUUUACUGGGUGUAAAGGGCGCGUAGGCGGGAUUGCAAGUCUGACGUGAAAUCUAUGGGCUUAACCCAUAAACUGCGUUGGAAACUGUAGUUCUUGAGUGAUGGAGAGGCAGGCGGAAUUCCUAGUGUAGCGGUGAAAUGCGUAGAUAUUAGGAGGAACACCAGUGGCGAAGGCGGCCUGCUGGACAUUAACUGACGCUGAGGCGCGAAAGCGUGGGGAGCAAACAGGAUUAGAUACCCUGGGUAGUCCACGCUGUAAACGAUGAAUACUAAGUGUGGGGGGACUGACCCCCUCCGUGCCGGAGUUAACACAAUA
rnacentral:rRNA from 1 species